CUGAGGUGGCGACCGGCGCACGGGUGAGUAACACGUAUGCAACCUGCCUGUAAGCGGGGAAUAACCCGUUGAAAGACGGACUAAUACCGCAUAAUACUAAAUUACUGCAUGGUAAUUUAUUUAAACAUUUAUGGCUUACAGAUGGGCAUGCGCAUGAUUAGCUAGUUGGAGAGGUAACGGCUCCCCAAGGCAACGAUCAUUAGGGGUUCUGAGAGGAAGGUCCCCCCACACUGGUACUGAGACACGGACCAGACUCCUACGGGAGGCAGCAGUGAGGAAUAUUGGUCAAUGGACGAGAGUCUGAACCAGCCAAGUCGCGUGCAGGAAGAAUUGUCCUAUGGAUUGUAAACUGCUUUUGCAGGGGAAUAAAGUGCAUCACGUGUGAUGUUUUGUAUGUACUCUGCGAAUAAGGAUCGGCUAACUCCGUGCCAGCCGCCGC
rnacentral:rRNA from 1 species